rnacentral:rRNA from 1 species
GAUGGCGACCGGCGCACGGGUAGAGUAACGCGUAUCCAACCUUCCCUAUAGUAGUGGAUAGCCCGGCGAAAGUCGGAUUAAUACACUAUGUUGAUUUAGAGGACAUCUGAAGAAUCCAAAGGUUUACCGCUAUAGGAUGGGGAUGCGUCUGAUUAGAUAGUAGGCGGGUAACGGCCACCUAGUCGACGAUCAGUAGGGUUCUGAGAGGAAGGUCCCCCACAUUGGAACUGAGACACGGUCCAAACUCCUACGGGAGGCAGCAGUGAGGAAUAUUGGUCAAUGGACGGGAGUCUGAACCAGCCAAGUAGCGUUGCAGGAUGACGGCCCUAUGGGUUGUAAACUGCUUUUAUACGGGGAUAAAGUGAGCCACGUGUGGCUUUUUGUAGGUACCGUAUGAAUAAGGACCGGCUAAUUCCGUGCCAGCCGCAGC